GCUUAAAUCGUACAAUGGCUAGUAUGUCAGACUGAAAAUCUGAAUAUGGUGGUUCGAUUCCACUUUUAGGCA
rnacentral:tRNA from 1 species